AUACGUAGGGGGCGAGCGUUGUCCGGAAUGAUUGGGCGUAAAGGGCGCGUAGGCGGCCCGGUAAGUCUGGAGUGAAAGACCUGUUUUUAAGAUGGGAAUUGCUUUGGAUACUGUCGGGCUUGAGUGCAGGAGAGGUAAGCGGAAUUCCCAGUGUAGCGGUGAAAUGCGUAGAGAUUGGGAGGAACACCAGUGGCGAAGGCGACUUACUGGACUGUAACUGACGCUGAGGCGCGAAAGUGUGGGGAGCAAACAGGAUUAGAUACCCUGGUAGUCCACACUGUAAACGAUGAAUGCUAGGUGUAGGGGGUAUCGACCCCUUCCGUGCCGCAGUCAACACAAUAAGCAUUCCGCCUGGGGAGUACGGCCGCAAGGUUGAAACUCAAAUGAAUUGACGGGG
rnacentral:rRNA from 1 species